rnacentral:rRNA from 1 species
GACGAACGCUGGCGGCGUGCUUAACACAUGCAAGUCGAACGAGGAUUGAUUUGUUGAGAGCUUCGGCAGGAUACGGAUCGAUUCGAGUGGCGGACGGGUGAGUAACGCGUGAGCAAUCUGUCCCAGACAGGGGAAUAACACUUGGAAACAGGUGCUAAUACCGCAUAAGACCACAGCGUCGCAUGGCGCAGGGGUAAAAGGAGGAAUCCGGUUUGGGGUGAGUUCGCGUCCGAUUAGAUAGUUGGUGAGGUAACGGCCCACCAAGUCGACGAUCGGUAGCCGACCUGAGAGGGUGAUCGGCCACAUUGGAACUGAGAGACGGUCCAAACUCC